rnacentral:rRNA from 1 species
AUGAACGCUGGCGGCGUGCCUAAUACCUGCAAGUCGCGCGCACGGACGAGAAGCUUGCUUCUCUGAUGUUAGCGGCGGACGGGUGAGUAACACGUGGAUAACCUACCUAUAAGACUGGGAUAACUUCGGGAAACCGGAGCUAAUACCGGAUAAUAUUUUGAACCGCAUGGUUCAAAAGUGAAAGACGGUCUUGCUGUCACUUAUAGAUGGAUCCGCGCUGCAUUAGCUAGUUGGUAAGGUAACGGCUUACCAAGGCAACGAUGCAUAGCCGACCUGAGAGGGUGAUCGGCCACCCUGGAACUGGGACCCGGUCCAGACUCCUACGGGAGGCAGCAGUAGGGAAUCUUCCGCAAUGGGCGAAAGCCUGACGGAGCAACGCCGCGUGGGUGAUGAAGGUCCUCGGAUCGUAAAACUCUUUUAUUAGGGAAGAACAUAUGUGUAAGUAACUGUGCACAUCUUGACGGUACCUAAUCAGAAAGCCCCGGCUAACUACGUG